rnacentral:rRNA from 1 species
GAUCCUGGCUCAGGACGAACGCUGGCGGCGUGCCUAACACAUGCAAGUCGAGCGGAGACAGUGAGUAGCUUGCUAUGAGCUGUUUUAGCGGCGGACGGGUGAGUAACGCGUGAGCAACCUUUCCCAGACAGGGGAAUAACACACCGAAAGGUGUACUAAUACCGCAUAAGACCACGGGAUCACAUGGUUCUGGGGUAAAAGAAUUAUCGGUUUGGGGUGGGCUCGCGUCCGAUUAGGUAGUUGGUGAGGUAACCGG